rnacentral:lncRNA from 1 species
UCUAUAUGUGGCUCAGAAGUAGGAUCACUAUCUUUGUAUUAAUUCUAAAUGUAAAUGAUGUUACUACUUAGUUGCAAUUCUUCAUAUACAUAAACAAUGUUAAGUUGAACUAAUUUCUUUAUCCCAUGUAUUCCUAAAGUCCCAAAAGACAAUAUGUUAUCUUUUGUGUUUUUCAAAAUUAAACUGAAUAGCAUAGUUGCAUAGAUAAAGUUUUCU